rnacentral:rRNA from 1 species
ACACCCGUUCCCAUACCGAACACGGAAGUUAAGCUCUUCAGCGCCGAUGGUAGUCGGGGGUUUCCCCCAGUGAGAGUAGGACGCCGCCAAGC